UGUAUGGACUCCGGAGAUCUUUCCUUUGAACAAAACAGUUCUUCUGAAGUUUUGUUACCCACAAUUACUCAUGAAGCACAUAAUUCACUGACAUCACAGACUCUGACUCAGACACAAACUCUUUCUGCAGAGCAAUUUGAUCUGGUUGACCAAAAUGGGCAACCUAUUCAAAAUGAACUUCCGCCAUUGGAGGAUUCUAACACAUCAUCGAUGAUUGUUGCCAGCCCAUCAGAAAAUGAUGGGCAAGUACUUCAUGUAAUUCCAUCUACCCAGACAGAAGUGGCACAAGUAAUCAUACCUCAGGGGCAACUUUUGGAUGUGAAUAUUUCUCAGGAUGUCUCUAAAGAGAAAUCCAGUGAUGAAGUUGUACCAAAUGUAGGAGGGGGUACUCUAGGAGACAGUACCAGUACUUACAUUCUUCAUCCACAAGAAUCCCUCACACCGCCCAAAGAGACAACAACAGAAAUGGUUGAAGAACCCUCUCUGGCUCCUCUCCAGACACUCACAUCCAACACACCCAUUUGGGCCUGUCGUCUUAGGAGCUGCCAGAGAAUUGGAGAUUCAUACCGUGGCUACUGUGUUAGUGAAAGUGAACUAGAAAGUGUUCUAACUUUUCACAAGCAGCAAACAAAGAGUGUUUGGGGGACCCGCCAAUCUCCAAGCCCAGCCAAGCCAGCUACACGCUUGAUGUGGAAAUCACAGUAUGUUCCAUAUGAUGGAAUUCCAUUUGUCAAUUCAGGGAGUAGAGCUGUGGUAAUGGAAUGUCAGUAUGGGCCAAGGAGAAAAGGUUUCCAGUUAAAAAAAAUCUGUGAACAGGAAAACAGGACUUGUGAACUCUACAAAGCUACUUGUCCAGCUCGGAUUUACAUAAAAAAGGUACAGAAAUUUCCUGAAUAUAGCGUUCCAACAGACCCCAAAAUUGACAAGAAAAUAAUCCGAAUGGAGCAGGAGAAAGCCUUUAAUAUGCUAAAGAAGAACCUGGUUGAUGCUGGUGGUGUUCUUAGGUGGUAUGUACAGCUCCCCACACAGCAAGCUCAUCAAUAUCAUGAAUUAGAGAUUCCCUACCGCCGUUUGUCAUCUACCACUCUUCCUGUGCCAUCUCUUGAAGAAGAGAAUGCUGCAGUUAGAGAUGAGAAUUGUGCAUUGGCCUCACGUCUGCAUCCUAAAGUAGCUUGUAAGAUUCAAGAAUUAGUAUCACAGGGAAUAGAACAAGUGUAUGCAGUAAGGAAACAGCUAAGAAAUUUUGUGGAAAGGGAACUGUUCAAACCUGAUGAGGUCCCUGAAAGACAUAAUCUAUCCUUUUUUCCAACUGUAAAUGAUCUAAGAAAUCACAUCCAUGAGGUACAGAAAUCCUUGAGAAAUGGAGAUAACAUGUAUAAUUCAGAGAUUAUUCCCACCACGCUGGAGUGGACUACAGAUAAUAGAAAUAUUAUUGGAGAAACUGUGACAGUUGCGUUUGCAGAAGGAAAUUCAACAGGAGACUCAGUUACUACUAAUGUAGAAACAAAUCAAACAACUUCUGUAUCUCUGGAGCCAGCCCACUUGCUUUCCUCAUUUUCCUCAUUUCCACCCAAAGUAUUUACCCAGCUUCAGGGUUUGCAGUUUACCUCUUCUGAUGGAUCACCAACUCUCAUAUCAGAAAAUAACCACUCCUCCUCAAGUCCUUCCAGACUCCUGAACUCAAUAGAAAGUACUGUAAUGAACAAUAAUUCUCUCCUACUUGAUCAAGGUCAUAACCUUCAAACAGAUACUUGCCUCACUGAAAACAAUAGUAUUGCUUCUGCCAUUGGUAACCUUCCAGAACCAGUUCAAAAUCUGGUUCCGGUGGAUCAGUUGAUAGAAGAUGGAGAUGUGCAAGAUACAGACAAUCUGGAAGGAAGUGUUCAUCAGAUUCUGUUGGGAGAUGUGGACACCAUUCCAAUGCAUAUUAUAGAUACCCACCCAGCUCUUAUUUUACAUGGAGAACCUGUGGUGAUAUAACGAGGAAGAUCUUUUUAGAAUACAUUAAAACAAGAGAAAUUGGGCCGGAGAGAUAGUACAGUGGUUGAAGAAAAUCCAGAAGAUACCAUUCCUAUGGACCAAGAUAAGCAAGAAUCCAAAGAACCAGCAUUGUCUAUGGAAUAAAAAAGAAAUUGGGACUGUAAGAAUUUAAUUUAUUGAAGCUUUUCAUAACAUAACUGAUAACAUCUGAUGUCAGAAAAGAUGGUGAAUAUUGUCAAAGUGCAGCAUUAUAAGUGAACAGAAGACUAAGUCAAUGAAAAGCUUUGAUGUGAAACUGAUGUAUUUGAUGCCAAUUUCAUAUUUUUUACUUAAGAUACCUUAUUUUAUAUUAAUACUACGCGUUUUGAUGAUCUGAUAAGGCAGUAUAUCAAGACUAUCUGAACUUACCCAUGUCUGAAAACAAAUAUGUUACACUCUGAAAAAUACCCAAAUUUAAUUCUUAGAAAGCAAAAAUAACAAAAACAAUGUGUGAAUGUAUAUUUGUAUGUUGUAACUUUUUCAGGUUUUAAAAGAACUUCCUCUUAAAAAUUGUGAAGAAUGUUUUUUAAUUGGCAGACAGAUGAGAGUCUGUCCUAUGUGGAAAGAUAAAACAAUUGAUUUUAUAUUCAUGUUACCCAGAAGUCACAUUUUUGUAAUCUGUGUAGCUGUAUUUUAGCUUUUUGCAUUCUACUUUUUGUCUUAAUAUCUUCAGACUUAAUACAAAAGUCACCUAGUAGAACUUUAAAGUGUCUUAAUAAUUCUGGGAAUUUCAACCUGAAUUAAUCAUACAUAAAACAGAAACAAAUGUAUAUUGUACAAAUUUAAACAGUAUUGUAAUGAAACAGUACUUAUACAGAUGUAGAAAUGGUGAGAAUUAAAAAAAGAAUAAUAGAGUUCCCCAAUACUUACAAAUAAUUCAGAAACUUUUUGAAAUCAGUGGAGAAUUUCCCCCUCUAUUUUGUAUUGAAAAUUUAGCUCUUAUUUGAAGAAUAUUUGAAUUAUAUUUUUCUGUGUCAGAGUUAUUGAAUUGAUAACAUUAGAAUGUAUAGUAUUUCAAGGUAAGUAUAGUUUAAAAUUUAGUUUCUAUUUAAAACAUAAAAAAAAUUUGAGUAUUAACUUUAAACACAAAAUAAAACUAAUCAUUACAAGUUUGCUUUGUGAAGAAAUUAACCUAAAGGUUUUCCUCAGAGGCCACUGUUGAUAUAUUUUAAAGUUAAUUUAAAAAUAAUAAAGACUGGAGAGAUAGUACAGGGUUUAGGCUCCUAACUUGUAUUCUAACAUAUAUAGUGCUCAGUCUGAUCUGUGACACAAUGUAUGACUCUUGAAUCACUACCAGGAAUGAUCCCUGAGCACACAGGGUCAGGAGUAAUCCCUAAGCACUGCCAGUUGUAACCCCCUCAAAACCAAAAAUAAAUAAAAAUUAAAAUAUUAAGGAUUGUGACUGGAGAGAUAGUUCAAAGUUAAGGUGCUUGCCCUACACAUUGUCAACUCUGAAUCAAUCCACAGCACUGCUAAUUAUUUCCUUAGCACCACAAAAAGUGAUC